GGCUCAGGAUGAACGCUGGCGGCGUGCUUAACACAUGCAAGUCGAACGAAGAAGAGUUGAAUGAGAGCUUCGGCAGGAUUUCUUCUCAUCUUAGUGGCGGACGGGUGAGUAACGCGUGGGUAACCUGCCUUGUACAGGGGGAUAACACUUAGAAAUAGGUGCUAAUACCGCAUAUGCGCACAGUAUCGCAUGAUACAGUGUGGAAAACUCUGGUGGUACAAGAUGGACCCGCGUCUGAUUAGCUAGUUGGUGAGGUAACGGCCUACCAAGGCGACGAUCAGUAGCCGGCCUGAGAGGGUGACCGGCCACAUUGGGACUGAGACACGGCCCAAACUCCUACGGGAGGCAGCAGUGGGGAAUAUUGCACAAUGGGGGAAACCCUGAUGCAGCAACGCCGCGUGAGUGAAGAAGUAUUUCGGUAUGUAAAGCUCUAUCAGCAGGGAAGAAAAUGACGGUACCUGACUAAGAAGCCCCGGCUAACUACGUG
rnacentral:rRNA from 1 species